CAAAUUAGUUCUGCACAGCUAGGUCUAGUUGUCAGUCCUCCCCACACUGUCAUUUCAGCCACUCCUGAAUCCAGACCCUCACUGACCAAGAACUACUACAUUACUGGCGUUGGUGUUUGGAAGGGAUCUGAAGAAGGGGUCUAUCGGGGUGCACUAGGCUCAUGAACUUGAAAGCAUUUACGUAUCUAAUGAAGAAACAGAAAGAAUUAUCAAGACAGGAAAAGGCAUCCAGCUCUAAUGAGUCAGGAGACCACAGGCACCAUAUCCCAGCUAAGAUGAACCAACACACCAACAGGAAUCACCUAACUCCUGAGGCCCCGAUCUCCCCGCCGUGACCCCUGGGAAUCCUGACAGCAUUGCCACUGCCUCCCGUGGUUGUCAAUUCACAUUCUGUAGGGUUGAGGAAACUCCCAGAGGGACCUACUCUGGUCCGUUGUGAAAUCAGAGAAUGCCAGACAUAGGAGAGACUGGAGGCAUCAUCUCGUCUGAGUGCCCAAUGGCACAGGAGAGAAAUGAUGUGCAGGGAAGUGGUAUGACUUUAUCAGGUGCUCUGAAAAGGAUGUGAGGUGGCAAAGUGACCUGGCAUGGCUACACGGCUAAAUAUUAUUUAAUGGCAUAAUCGAGUGCUAGCGCCAGGCUUGUAUUUUGUGUGUGUGUGUGAUUACAGAUUGGGAGAAUUGGGUAGUGUUGUAUGAUGUCUCUAUAACUACCUACUGACUUUUGUUGAUGAUGUAUUAGGAAAGACUAUUGGAGACAUCCACUCUGUGGUUACUCACAAGGCAAGUUCACCUACUGACUGAAUUUCUCAGUCCCAUACUCUGUCACUCUCUGCCAGUCCCAGUGUCUUGGGCAAGCUCCCUACUGGCUUAAGGCUAAGCAGCCUUAGAACCCUCCCUCUCUCUAACCCAGCCAGACCUUGCCAAUUUAUUUAAUCCGAACUAGUUUUCCCAGCUUUACAAAAUGAUGACACAUCUGCUUCAGCCUCUUGGGCUGGUUGUGAGGCCUGAACAGUGAGGCUGACCUGUAAUCCAUCACCACAAGUCUGGAUUUGCCCACUGGGUUUCUUUGAGGCCUGUCACAGGUUGAGAAAGAAAUCUUACCUGACAUCAUCAGAGCUUCCUGAAUUAAACUUCGGAGCUGAAAUACUUUCCUUGAAGAAGUCCUCAGAGAAGGCAGGAGUUGAGUUUGGGUUUAUAGCACCAGCACUUAAAAGGCUGUCUGGGCCAGGUCCUGUGGUCAGUGGAAAACACGUCUACCAAGGCAGACUAACCAACCCACCAGAGCUCAUGGAUACGCAAUAAAUAUCUGCUAAAAGAAGUCAGACUGGUCUCCGGGAAGAGAUAACUCUGCUCCUUCUGUGAAUUCUUCAGCUGUACUGCAGACAUUACUUGUGCUGGGAGAUGGCGGUUGCUGGGGAAAAAACCUGAGAAACCCUAGUUCAUAUCCUCCCUCUGACACUUCUUAGAGGGAUUACUGCUGGUAGGAAGCAGCUGGGAGGCGUGCAGUGCUGGCACCGUGUCAUCGCAGGACCACUGCAGCCGCCAAGCUGCUUUCAAAGACUGGAAGCAACAGGUGCCUGUCAUCGAAAGCAGGGGAAUGAUUUUCACACAUUACAGGAAACCAGGGAUGUUA
rnacentral:lncRNA from 10 species